UAUAAGAUUUCUGUUUUCAGUCACCAGUUAUGUUGUAUAUAUAUAAGAUUUCUGUUGUCAGUCACCAGUUAUGUUGUAUAUAUAUAAGAUUUCUGUUGUCAGUCACCAGUUAUGUUGUAUAUAUAUAUAAGAUUUCUGUUGUCAGUCACCAGUUAUGUUGUAUAUAUAUAAGAUUUCUGUUGUCAGUCACCAGUUAUGUUGUAUAUAUAUAAGAUUUCUGUUGUCAGUCAUCAGUUAUGUUGUAUAUAUAAAAUGCAUCUUAAAAUGUUUUAUCCUGCAACUGGCAGUGACAUAUAUCUUUGCUUUAUUCGAUAGUGACAGAAAACAGCUAUAUUUGAACAUGCGUGGUAAUUCGUCAGAAGUACUCUUUGAAUUUACUUAAAUAUUACAUUCAGAAAUAUGAAUAAUUGGAAAGGAAGACUUGUGUUGUCAAGAUAUAUGAUAAACUGCUUUGCUUUACUGAGUAAGAGGUAUGCAUGUUAUAAGUCAGGGUUACUUAAACGAUAACAGAAUUGAAACAUCACUUUGUUUUUGGUAGAGGUGUGUUGUUUUUCGGACAACUGCUUAAGUAGCUAGUUCCCCCAAAAAACUAACUUAAUUUAAAUGUGUCUACAAAGUUUCACCUUCAUCACAAGCAUCUUACCUUGUCAAUAAUAUGACAUGGCAAAUGUUACAUUCUUUGAUAAUUUUUGUGUUAAUAUUCGAUGUGUUUUCAUUCAUAUGCUCGUUCGUUUCCCGGUUGGUUUCGUUGUUGUAUACCUUGUUCUCAUUUGCUGACUUGACUUUCUUUGAUAUACCAAGAUUUAUAUGAUGGGUGUCAUCAACUAAGUAGAAGAAGCAUACUGUUCCAGAACGUCUGGUCUUGUUUUUGUACGGGAGCUCGUUAAUCUUUCUUUUAUGCAUAUUUUGCCAUAGUGUUAUUGAAUUUGAGUUCGGAAUGUGAUGACCAAACAAAGUUAAAUAUAUGUUUGUGUUUUGCUUCGAUGUAUCAUGUAAAUUUGUGUUUUUAUAAAUAUUCAGCUUCCCCAGACACAGCUUCACUUGCCAAUAAAAUAUGUUCACAUUA